UCCGACACUUCCUCCUCGGUCAGCUAGAUGAGUUCGCCCCUCAGGUUCCUUCAGUGGAGUAGAUUCUGAGCGGUCCAGAAUAGCUCCUAGUGCUGUGUAUGGGAGAGGAGAAGACAGAGACUUGACUUGGAGGCCUACCUGUACCACCAGUGCGGACUUGACCCCCAGUUUCGAAAUCAGUAUGACAAUGAUGUCACUGUUUGGAGCCCCCAGGGCAGGAUUCAUCAAAUUGAAUAUGCAAUGGAAGCUGUUAAACAAGGUUCAGCCACAGUUGGUCUGAAAUCAAAAACUCAUGCAGUUUUGGUUGCAUUGAAAAGGGCGCAAUCAGAGCUUGCAGCUCAUCAGAAAAAAAUUCUCCAUGUUGACAACCAUAUUGGUAUCUCAAUUGCGGGGCUUACUGCUGAUGCUAGACUGUUAUGUAAUUUUAUGCGUCAGGAGUGUUUGGAUUCCAGAUUUGUAUUCGAUAGACCACUGCCUGUGUCUCGUCUUGUAUCUCUAAUUGGAAGCAGUAUCCUUUUUAUGUUAGCAUUUAUGGAUAUGAACUUUGAAGGGUUUUGAUACUUGUGUUA
rnacentral:lncRNA from 1 species